GCAUAUCAGUAAUUCAAUAGAGUAGACCAAUAGCCUUCUAAGCUGUAGAUUGGGCGUUCGAAUCGCUCCUGGGUCGUACCA
rnacentral:tRNA from 1 species